AGAGUUUGAUCCUGGCUCAGGACGAACGCUGGCGGCGUGCCUAAUACAUGCAAGCAGAACGCUGAAGAGAGGAGCUUGCUCUUCUUGGAUGAGUUGCGAACGGGUGAGUAACGCGUAGGUAACCUGCCUUGUAGCGGGGGAUAACUAUUGGAAACGAUAGCUAAUACCGCAUAACAAUGGAUGACACAUGUCAUUUAUUUGAAAGGGGCAAUUGCUCCACUACAAGAUGGACCUGCGUUGUAUUAGCUAGUAGGUGAGGUAAUGGCUCACCUAGGCGACGAUACAUAGCCGACCUGAGAGGGUGAUCGGCCACACUGGGACUGAGACACGGCCCAGACUCCUACGGGAGGCAGCAGUAGGGAAUCUUCGGCAAUGGGGGCAACCCUGACCGAGCAACGCCGCGUGAGUGAAGAAGGUUUUCGGAUCGUAAAGCUCUGUUGUAAGUCAAGAACGGGUGUGAGAGUGGAAAGUUCACACUGUGACGGUAGCUUACCAGAAAGGGACGGCUAACUACGUGCCAGCAGCCGCGGUAAUACGUAGGUCCCGAGCGUUGUCCGGAUUUAUUGGGCGUAAAGCGAGCGCAGGCGGUUUGAUAAGUCUGAAGUUAAAGGCUGUGGCUCAACCAUAGUUCGCUUUGGAAACUGUCAAACUUGAGUGCAGAAGGGGAGAGUGGAAUUCCAUGUGUAGCGGUGAAAUGCGUAGAUAUAUGGAGGAACACCGGUGGCGAAAGCGGCUCUCUGGUCUGUAACUGACGCUGAGGCUCGAAAGCGUGGGGAGCGAACAGGAUUAGAUACCCUGGUAGUCCACGCCGUAAACGAUGAGUGCUAGGUGUUGGAUCCUUUCCGGGAUUCAGUGCCGCAGCUAACGCAUUAAGCACUCCGCCUGGGGAGUACGACCGCAAGGUUGAAACUCAAAGGAAUUGACGGGGGCCCGCACAAGCGGUGAAGCAUGUGGUUUAAUUCGAAGCAACGCGAAGAACCUUACCAGGUCUUGACAUCCCGAUGCUAUUUCUAGAGAUAGAAAGUUACUUCGGUACAUCGGUGACAGGUGGUGCAUGGUUGUCGUCAGCUCGUGUCGUGAGAUGUUGGGUUAAGUCCCGCAACGAGCGCAACCCCUAUUGUUAGUUGCCAUCAUUCAGUUGGGCACUCUAGCGAGACUGCCGGUAAUAAACCGGAGGAAGGUGGGGAUGACGUCAAAUCAUCAUGCCCCUUAUGACCUGGGCUACACACGUGCUACAAUGGUUGGUACAACGAGUUGCGAGUCGGUGACGGCGAGCUAAUCUCUUAAAGCCAAUCUCAGUUCGGAUUGUAGGCUGCAACUCGCCUACAUGAAGUCGGAAUCGCUAGUAAUCGCGGAUCAGCACGCCGCGGUGAAUACGUUCCCGGGCCUUGUACACACCGCCCGUCACACCACGAGAGUUUGUAACACCCGAAGUCGGUGAGGUAACCUUUUGGAGCCAGCCGCCUAAGGUGGGACAGAUGAUUGGGGUGAAGUCGUAACAAGGUA
rnacentral:rRNA from 1 species